rnacentral:rRNA from 1 species
UACGUAGGUGGCAAGCGUUAUCCGGAUUUACUGGGUGUAAAGGGCGUGUAGCCGGGCUUACAAGUCAGAUGUGAAAUCCGGGGGCUCAACCCCCGAACUGCAUUUGAAACUGUAGGUCUUGAGUAUCGGAGAGGCAGGCGGAAUUCCUAGUGUAGCGGUGAAAUGCGUAGAUAUUAGGAGGAACACCAGUGGCGAAGGCGGCCUGCUGGACAGUAACUGACGUUGAGGCUCGAAAGCGUGGGGAGCAAACAGG